rnacentral:rRNA from 1 species
UAUUGGGCGUAAGCGCGCGCAGGUGGUUUCUUAAGUCUGAUGUGAAAGCCCACGGCUCAACCGUGGAGGGUCAUUGGAAACUGGGAGACUUGAGUGCAGAAGAGGAAAGUGGAAUUCCAUGUGUAGCGGUGAAAUGCGUAGAGAUAUGGAGGAACACCAGUGGCGAAGGCGACUUUCUGGUCUGUAACUGACACUGAGGCGCGAAAGCGUGGGGAGCAAACAGGAUUAGAUA